rnacentral:tRNA from 1 species
GGAUGGUUGGCAGAGUGGCUGAUCGCGCCUGGCUGUAACCCAGGUUCCCCAAAGGACGCGGAGGUUCGAAUCCUUCACCAUCCA